AGUGAACGCUGGCGGCAGGCCUAAUACAUGCAAGUCGAACGGCAGCACAGCAGAGCUUGCUCUGUGGGUGGCGAGUGGCGGACGGGUGAGGAAUACGUGGGAAUCUGCCCAGUCGUGGGGAUAACGUAGGGAAACUUACGCUAAUACCGCAUGCGCCCUUCGGGGAAAGCCGGGGACCUUCGGGCCUGGCGCGAUUGGAUGAGCCCACGUCGGAUUAGCUAGUUGGCGGGGUAAAGGCCCACCAAGGCGACGAUCCGUAGCUGGUCUGAGAGGAUGAUCAGCCACACUGGAACUGAGACACGGUCCAGACUCCUACGGGAGGCAGCAGUAGGGAAUAUUGGACAAUGGGCGCAAGCCUGAUCCAGCCAUGCCGCGUGAGUGAAGAAGGCCCUCGGGUUGUAAAGCUCUUUUUGUCCCGGGAAAGAAAAGGCGCCCGGGGUUUAAAUACCCCUAGGGUGUCCUGACGGUACAGGAAGAAUAAGCACCGGC
rnacentral:rRNA from 1 species